rnacentral:lncRNA from 1 species
CCACUUCGAAACUCUAUACAAAUUCCUCUCCUCAUAUCUCAUGCGAAUAGUGGCUGCCAUGACAAUGGGUGGAAACACUACAAGCUUUUUGCAAGGGCUGCCACUAUUCACGUGAAUAGUAACAGCCUUUGCCCUUUGCCAUGGAAAAUGAGUGGAAGUGCUCUGAAGAAGUGCCGUUGCGGCCACACCCACCACAACAUCUAUAACAAAUCUAGGGAAAAUAUGAUUUCCAGUGAUCUACCUGCACAUAAAAGUGAACAAAUAAACGAAAACAACAACUUUACCAAAGAACAAUUGGAUGAUUUGCAGUAAUUUUCGUCAAAGAUGAUGUAUAAUUAAAUUUAGAGAACAUGAGCAGCAUUAAGGAAUGGGUUUUGGGAGCAAGAUUUGAUUGAGAACAUAGACUAAAAAGGGUGAUGGGGAACUUCAAUCUAACCAUGGCUAAGAAGAAACUACCACAAGUGGCUUUUUAUUCAAAAUGCCCCAAUGGACUUAUUUACUAAUCUAAAAAGAAAAAGACGAGAAGAGAAGAUGGGGGGAGGGGCAGUGAUGCUUCUUCCUCCUCCCCCCUCUAUGGAAUUUUAUUUUCCUUUAGAACUCACAGAGGGAGAGACUGGCUAGAGUUUCUUGAGAAUGUCGGUUAACCACAAACGGACAAGCACUCUUGGGUAACUGGAAUAUGGUAUUUUUUUGGAGUUGGGUUGAACAAUACCACAAAGGCAAAAGAUGACAGAUUUACAAGUAGAAAAAUAGCUGUCUUACCCUGAAACUCCUUUAACAUCCUCAUUCACACAGAUUCACUGCUUGUUAUAUACUGGCCAGAAUCAUGCAGAAGUUGUAAGCUUGCCGCAUUAGCUUGUUUCAUGUACAGACAUUUUAGCUUAAUACAUGA